UCCGAGUUGACCCCGGCAGUCUCCUACGAGUCCCCGGCAUUACCCGCUGGCAACAUAGGACGAGGGUUGCGCUCGUUGCGGGACUUAACCCAACAUCUCACGACACGAGCUGACGACAGCCAUGCAGCACCUGUGUUCCGAUUCCCUUUCGGGCACAGCCGAAUCUCUUCGGCCUCUCGGACAUGUCAAGGGUAGGUAAGGUUUUUCGCGUUGCAUCGAAUUAAUCCACAUAAUCCACCGCUUGUGCGGGUCCCCGUCAAUUUCUUUGAGUUUUAACCUUGCGGCCGUACUCCCCAGGCGGAGAACUUAAUGCGUUAGCUGCGCCACCGAAACCCUAAGGGCCCCGACAGCUAGUUCUCAUCGUUUACGGCGUGGACUAC
rnacentral:misc_RNA from 1 species